CAAUUCUUCUCUUCAGCGCGGAGUAGAGCAGCUUGGUAGCUCGCAAGGCUCAUAACCUUGAGGUCACGGGUUCA
rnacentral:tRNA from 2 species